rnacentral:rRNA from 1 species
UACGUAGGUGGCGAGCGUUGUCCGGAUUUACUGGGCGUAAAGGGUGCGUAGGUGGUUUCUUAAGUCAGAGGUGAAAGGCUACGGCUCAACCGUAGUAAGCUUUUGGAACUGUAAGACUUGAGUGCAGGAGAGAAGAGUGGAAUUCCUAGUGUAGCGGUGAAAUGCGUAGAUAUUAGGAGGAACACCAGUAGCGAAGGCGGCUCUCUGGACUGUAACUGACGCUGAGGCACGAAAGCGUGGGGAGCAAACAGGAUUAGAUACCCCUGUAGUCCCU